AAUAAGUGUAGUUUUACACUGUUCAUAUCCAACGUUUGAUUACUCGUCUUAUUUGAAUUUUUUCUAUGAUUAGUAUUUUUGUUGUUAGUAGAUGAUAAAAUAUAAAUAGUAUUUUAUGUGUGACUAAAUUUUUUAAAUAUUUUUAUAAAAUUUUUAAAUAAGACGGAUGGUCAAAUCUUCGAUAUGGAUUCCUACGACUACACUUCUU
rfam:Oryza glumipatula chromosome 8, whole genome shotgun sequence.